ensembl:lncRNA
UUUUUCUUAUAAAUAGUAUAAAUUAUUUUAUUUACAGAAACUUGUUACAAAACAAAUAGACUAUAUAUUUAUUUUCUUCUUUUAAAUAUCCAAAGUAAUUUUUUCUAUCCCAUGACAUUUGUUCAGGUACUAUACAGCAGCCAACACAGGGUUCAGCUGAUCAGAUGCUCUUGAUUAUGUAUACAAAUUAUCAAACUAUUCACACAUUUUACACAGGAGAUUGCUUUUAGAACCAGGCUCAACACCGAGCAAGAUGCUUUCAAGGCCUACAUUCACAUUGACAUUAUGUAGUGCUCAUUUUAAACUCAUCUUUCAAACGUAAAAUAUCUUUGCACAAAAGGUAAAAAUGAUUCUUUUCUGCUGAACGGCGAAACAUUUAUAAGAGUCUUUCUAAGCCCAAUUCCCUCCUCCAGGACAGAAUGAGUAAAAGACAAAGAGAGAGAUUCCUUGGCAAGAGAACUCUUACAGGAAGACGACUGCCUUAGAAAUGCCAUUUGGAAAUCACAUCUAUUUCUGAAUGCUUUUAAGAGGUACUUACUUGGGAGUUUGUUUUGUUUUUCCUGGAAUACCAACUGUUUUGAACAUCUUUUAGAUUAUUUCAUUUAUGAAUACCAUACCCCCCCCCUUUCCCCAACAUAAGACUUAAAUAGCUGGUUAAAACCACAUUUUCCAAACCCUUGGCAUUAUAUUAAAUACAAGUUAUCAAUGGGAUUGUUCCGACACAAGGUAUUCUAAUGAAAAGGUUUUACAAAAGUCACCAGCAUCAUUCGCUUUGUCAACUCAUUCAUUUCAGAAAAUACAUAUAUAUGUAUGUGUGUAUAUAUAUACACACACAUAUACACGCACACAUACAUAUAUACACGCACACACAUAUAUAUAUAGGUGGAAAAAGCAAGCUCCAAAGUUUCAACUGAACAUUCAAGUCUUUUAAGGAGAAGCUGUCUAGAAACAGUCCAAGCUUAAAACUAGUUUUAAUCAGGCACUUUCAGUUUUUCCGUUAGUUGGAAACCACGUGAGACCCACACACAGCGCACGCACACGGACACUAAAGGAAAGAGAGGAGCAGUGUGUCACUUAAAAACUAAAUGUAGUCAUCUGGGAAUCAGGCAACUGAGAAGCAAUGCCAGGAUCGACCGUGUCGGCUCCGACCCUGCGCCCGGGUUCCUGCGGCGGAACCCGACCGCAAGGAUGGAUCCGCUCCCAAGACAGGACGAGGGACACAGCUUUCACAGCACGGAGGCAUCCCUUCACGUUGCAGAGGAGGCCUGGGAGCUAUUGGCUUGGCAGUGAACCACUUCAAAUGAUAAAAAAAACAGGUAUUUGCUUUGCUUAUUUUUUUUUUCCUGUACUUUUUUCUUCUUUUUAUUAAUUAAUUAAUAAAUAAAUAGUAGAUGAUCUCAAUUGUACCAAAACUGGAUAUAAGAAAAAAAGACCUGUGCAAAAAUACAUAUUUAAAUAUGUACAAUCAAUUAACAAAAUAUGUCUUUUCUGAAAUAGGGAUACUUCAAUAUUUAUAAUAGAACAAGAAAUUCCAAAAUAAAGAUACAAAAGUAUGGUUUUUUUUGUCUUUUUUUUUUUUCUUUUUUCCUUGUAUAAUUCUUUGUUCAUCAUUGCAGCAAUUUUGUAGGUUAAGAAAACUGCAGGAGUCGUAACGAGAAGUUGGAAAGACUUAUAAAAACUGUAUCUCUUAAAUUAAUACCAAAAUCUGUCUAGAAACAACCCAGCCACUGCAAAUUCCAUUUUGCACGGAAAAAUUAAUUGUUAAGCUUCCUUAAUUAUUUACAGUAAGAACUACGUGACGAUAAAAAAAGCUUCAGGAACAAUGUUCU